rnacentral:rRNA from 1 species
AGUGAACGCUGGCGGUAGGCCUAACACAUGCAAGUCGAACGGCAGCACAGUAAGAGCUUGCUCUUACGGGUGACGAGUGGCGGACGGGUGAGGAAUACAUCGGAAUCUACUUUUUCGUGGGGGAUAACGUAGGGAAACUUACGCUAAUACCGCAUACGACCUACGGGUGAAAGCAGGGGAUCUUCGGACCUUGCGCGAUUGAAUGAGCCGAUGUCGGAUUAGCUAGUUGGCGGGGUAAAGGCCCACCAAGGCGACGAUCCGUAGCUGGUCUGAGAGGAUGAUCAGCCAAACUGGAACUGAGACACGGUCCAGACUCCUACGGGAGGCAGCAGUGGGGAAUAUUGGACAAUGGGCGCAAGCCUGAUCCAGCCAUACCGCGGGGGUGAAGAAGGCCUUCGGGUUGUAAAGCCCUUUUGUUGGGAAAGAAAAGCAGCAGGUUAAUACCCCGCUGUUCUGACGGUACCCAAAGAAUAAGCACCGGCUAACUUCGU